GACAGAGGGUGCAAACGUUGUUCGGAAUUACUGGGCGUAAAGCGCGUGUAGGCGGCCCUGCAAGUCGGAUGUGAAAUCCCACGGCUCAACCGUGGAAGUGCAUUCGAAACUGCAGGGCUAGAGUCCUGGAGAGGAAGGUGGAAUGCUUGGUGUAGAGGUGAAAUUCGUAGAUAUCAAGCGGAACACCGGUGGCGAAGGCGGCCUUCUGGACAGUGACUGACGCUGAUGCGCGACAGCGUGGGGAGCAAACAGGG
rnacentral:rRNA from 1 species